GCUUAAAGGGGCCGUAGCCGGUUUAGUAAAUCUUUUGUGAAAUCAUGGGGCUUAACUCCAUGGCGUGCAGAGGACACUGCUAGACUAGGAACCGGAAGGAGUCAGAAGUAUUCUGGGGGGAGCGGUAAAAUGUUAUAAUCCCCGGAGGACUACCUGUGGCGAAGGCGUCUGACUAGGACGGAUUCGACGGUGAGGGACGAAGGCCAGGGGAGCGAACCGGAUUAGAUACCCGAGUAGUCCUGGCAGUAAACGCUGCGAGCUAGGUGUUGCAUAUUCUCCGUGAGUAUGCAGUGUCGGAGCGAAGGUGUUAAGCUCGCCGCCUGGGAAGUAUAGUCGCAAGACCGAAACUUAAAGGAAUUGGCGGGGGAGCACAACAAGGGGUGCGGCGUGCGGUUUAAUCUAAUUCAACGCAGAAAAUCUCACCAGCAGCGACGGCAGGAUGAAAGUCAGUCUGAAGGGCUUACUUGACGAGCCGAGAGGUAGUGCAUGGCCGCCGUCAGCUCGUGCCGUAAGGUGUCCUGUUAAGUCAGGCAACGAGCGAGACCUGUAUCUACAAUUGCCAGCAGGCAUUUAAUGUGACUGGGCACAUUGUAGGGACUGCCCUGGAAACAGGGAGGAAGGUACAGGCUACGGUAGGUCUGUAUGCUCCGAAUCUGCUGGGCUACACGCGCGCAACAAUGGUAUGGACAUAGGAUGCGAUUCCGAAAGG
rnacentral:rRNA from 1 species